AACACCUCCCUACAGCACCAAAUUGAGACCAAGUAUUUAGCACAUAGGCCUUUAAGGGGUGCUGCAGACCCAAAACUACAGAACCCUAUUAUACCUAUAUCCACAGACAUGAGGAUGCUGCGAGGGGGGCCCUGCCCCUGAGAGCCUGGCCGACAAUGACAUACACUGAAUGUGCUUGGAUGGUUGUCUAUGAAAAGGGAGAACCACGCAGGAAUAAACGACUACACUAGAGAGCGGGGCUGUCCAGGAGUCUAUGAUAAAGUGCGUCGUGAACUGGAGUGAAAACAAUCGACUCAGCCCUCUGGUUCUGCGCGCAAAGUAAACAAGAGUCUUAAGCUCGCCAUCAAUUACCAAGGCAACCGAGGACCUGAAUAUUAAGUGGAUGCUUCACCCAAAACAAGCAGUUUCAUGAGGAGCCUCUGAUGGGCCAUAAAGUUAAACAUGGUGCGGAGUCAGUAGAUCAGGGGUUCCGUUAGAUGCCGUGUUGCAUCUUUCUUUCCCAAGUAAAGCGUUCGAGUGGUCCCCAUGAAGUAAGAAAAGCAGCGUGCCCAGCGUGAACGCAGCGGGCUGUCUCCCCAGGAAGGAAGUACAUCGGCGGCACUGGCUUCAUUAACUUUGUUUGUCCGUCGCUGGACCUCUGGGAGUUUUCAGGUUUGUCUUCCUGAAGGAUCUUCUGAAGAUGCUAACCUUUCCUGGAAGGCCAGUCUUGGUUGUCAACUUGACAGACCCAGGAAGAGAAAACCUCCAGUCCCAGUCCCUCCAUCAGAUUCAUCUGCGGAGUAUUUUCUUGGCUGGUGAUUUAUGUAAGAGGGCCCAGCACACCAUGGGCGGUCCUGAGUUU